CGCGGUACCCUAACCGUGCGAAGGUAGCAUAAUCACUUGUUCUUUAAAUGAGGACUCGUAUCAACGGCAUCACGAGGAUCCUACUGUCUCCCCCCUCUAAUCGGUGAAACUGAUCUCUCCGUGAAGAAGCGGAGAUGUACAUAUAAGACGAGAAGACCCCAUGGAGCUUUAAACCCAACGACACCCGCCCCCCUCCAAAUCCUACUAUUUACCCGGUGAUUGUUUGUUUGGUUUUAGGUUGGGGUGACCGCGGAGUAUAAGAUAUCCUCCAUGAAAAAAAGCUAACUGCCCUUAUUAGAGAAAGACACUUCCAAAAAAUAAUAAAUUAAUUUUAAAUGAUCCGACAUUCGAUCAACGAACCAAGUUACCCUGGGGAUAACAGCGCAAUCCGUCCCGAGAGCCCCUAUCGACAGGCGGGUUUACGACCUCGAUGUUGGAUCAGGGUAUCCUAGUGGUGCAGCAGCUACUAAAGGUUCGUUUGUUCAACGAUUAAAACCCUACGUGAUC
rnacentral:rRNA from 1 species